GAACUGAAGAGUUUGAUCAUGGCUCAGAUUGAACGCUGGCGGCAGGCCUAACACAUGCAAGUCGAGCGGAUGAGAGGAGCUUGCUCCUUGAUUUAGCGGCGGACGGGUGAGUAAUGCCUAGGAAUCUGCCUGGUAGUGGGGGAUAACGUUCCGAAAGGAACGCUAAUACCGCA
rnacentral:rRNA from 1 species